GCAAACUUGGUCAUUUAGAGGAAGUAAAAGUCGUAACAAGGUUUCCGUAGGUGAACCUGCGGAAGGAUCAUUACCAAUUUAUCCUUAUGGGUAAAUUUUAUCCAUAUCCACCUUAUGUGCAUCAUUGAAGCGUUUGUUGGCAGGUAAAGUUUAAAUACCUUGCGUAUUUGAUCGGGCUGAGAACAAAGAUUGCUCUCGCGGCCUGCCAAUUUUUAUGUCUAAACUCGUCUAUAUGUAUACUAUCGACUGAACUAUCACAAAUUAAUAAACACAACUUUCAACAACGGAUCUCUUGGCUCUCGCAUCGAUGAAGAACGCAGC
rnacentral:misc_RNA from 1 species